CAUUGAACAAUGGAUUGACUGGAUCAACUGAUGAAACAUGGACAUCAUUCAUCUGCUCCUGCUCCUACUGUCAUGCAUAAUUCAAGCAGUCCGAGGUCAGGUGACGCUGACACCUGAAACACUAACGGUCCUGAAAGGAAAAGAGGCCCGGUUUACCUGCAGGCCCUCCCUCCCCGAGUGGACCGUUAUGGUGUGGCUGAUGAACGGCAAAUCGGUUCUCACCAUCUCCAAUAAGACGGGUGCCCUGAACACUGUCCACCCAAAUGUGACGGCCGAGCAAAGCGGAGACGGCUGGGUGUUGGUCAUCAACAGGACGGAGAGGCACAACGAGGGCUCAGUGGUCUGUGAUCUCCAGGGUAUUACUACGAAAACAGCAAGCCUGUUUGUACAAGAGACGGGCAGCGUGAAAGUCGUUUGGGACAACAGGUUGGCUUUAAAGGAUUCCUGGGUGCAGUUUGAAUGCCUAACAGCAGGAUGGUACCCUGCGCCCACUGUGCAAUGGCAGGUGAAAGAAAAAGAGGGGAAAGAGACAAAACACAUCAGCAGCAGUGAAACGACCAAACUCAACAUCAUGGCAACGAAGAGCUCAGAUGUGUCUUGUCUGGCGUCCGUGUCUGCCCUGCUCACGCCACUGAAGAGCUGCGCCCGUCUGACAGUGGUUGUAGAGGUGGGGCGGGAGAAGGAGGAAGAUGUCUGCAGCGUGGUGCCCCUGGCAAUAAUGUCCUCCCUCUCUGCUCUUCUGCUGCUCCUCCUGCUCUGUAUCUGCACCGUCCUCUGGCUCAGACGAAGGAGACAAGCACGAGCCGGCACACAGGAGGUAGUAAGGUCCGACCAAUCGGUGAGCGGGAGGAGUUCGGUUGCCGAGGCGACAGCCGGGAAGGUCAACCUGGGAUAUUCUAGUGACGGCCCCACAGAUGCAGUUCACAAUGAGCUAAUCAUGGAAACCUUUAGGCAGGAGGACUUUGUCAGCUUUCACAAGGUCCCUGAUGUCAUAUCCCCCAGCAACCUGUCUCCACACGGGGACGGACCAGCCCAGCUUUGACCAUGAUUACAAUAUUACCCUCAAGAUAAAAGUUGCAAUAAACCACAACAAACAUUUAAUGUAUUAAGUGCCUCUUUUUCUGUUUUAAAUGCGGAAGCAUCUCAAACUCGAUCGAUGUCCCGGUCAUGGAGCGGUGAUGGUUUUAAGAUACAAUAUAAAUGGGAAAGGGUGAGAUGUAAAUUAAGACAAUGUGACUGGUGCUGCAAUAAGAACGAGGUGGUGGUGAGGCGCUCUGGAUUAAUGCAUGAAAUAACAGAUUUAUCUCUGUGUGAAGUGGAUGACGGGACAUUUGCAUUUAAUAAUAGUAAAGAAUGGGGGUUGUGGGGGGGGGGGGGGUAGAAUGGUGGAGAUGGAUGUAUAUGGGUCUGCCAGACACUCAAUAGUUUCAGCAGCAUUGCUGUUAUUAAAGCAGUUGGUGUGAAUUAAAAAGGUGACAUGCCUGGUGUCUGGGAUUUUUUUUUUACCAAACUGCCGCAGUAAUACCCAUGCGUUUCACAUUUCAGACUGAGCCAGUCCCAUGUGAGUGCAUUAAAUUAUUCCCAACGUAGGGUUAUUAUCAUUGUUUAAUAAUGUCACAAUAUUUAACAAAAACUUUCUUUUUUUCUGUAGGAUGUGGUGUAUUUUUUAGGAUUUCUGUGUGAUUCUUCACCUCCCUCAACAACCGCAAAAUAAAUAGCAAAUCAUACAAUUGGCAGCUUAUCCUUUGUUGGAAGGGAAACACUCUUUCACUUCACUGAAAGCCAAUGCACAUUCUGAUUGGCCCUUUCGGCUUUAGAUGAGAUAUAUCUCUGCUGCCAGCCACCUUGAUUAGCCAAAUAUGAUUUCAAGCCUAUAAGAGAAUGGAAUGGCGGCUAAAUCUCUGCAAACACAGCUGAGAAACACAAUUUUGAAGGUGCAUAUUUUCAUAUAAUAAGGAACCACAAAUACAGCAGGGUGGGGGGGGGGUCAAAGCCAGAGAUCUGGAGAAAUCAAGGCCAGAGGCUGACAAAACACAAGCGGGCCUUCUGCUGAAGAAUAAAAACAAGCCAACACAGAAGUAAAAAAAAAGAAUUACUACUACAGUGAUGGAAAGUAGCCUUGAUUUAGAAAACUCGAUGUAAUCCAAAACCAGACCAAAUCAAAACCAAGGCACAAAAAGAAAAAAAUCAAACAAAUCAGCAGGUUGUGGCCUCUUCUAAAAACCAUAAGACAGUUGAGCAUGAUGCUACGUGACACAACACUGUGAGGCGUAUGGGCAGUUAUCAAUGCAGAAGCAACCAGUGGAUUUCUGUCAAACAAAGAGAAAGGUGGACACAGUGUUGACUUUUAAAAGAAAAAAGGUCCCGGCCUAUAUAUCUAUAUUAAAAGCUAAAAAUGGAUCUAGUGUGCUGAAGAAAUAUAUUAUUUCUUAGACUCCUCAUGGCAACAAAUUCAAGAAUAUAAUAUAAGAAUUUACAAAGACUAGUGAAAACCAAUUCAACACCCACGUUCUAUUGCAACGAAAGCAAUCACUAUCAGCCAAUCUUUUUUUCGUUCUAAAUUUAGGUGGUGCGGCUUGUAUUCAAGUGCGCUCUAUAGUCAGGAAAUGAUGGUAAAAGUGCUCUGGGGUGUGAGAGAGGGAAGAUGCAUUUCAUCUACAUAUGACCCGCACUGGCCUAGCUGCAGGGCACACCAACAACCACCAGGAGGAACUCUGUUGUCCUACUGCAGCCAUGACUAAAUUACUCUUAUAAUACAUAUUAAUAAUACAAUGUAUUUCACACAACCACGACCACCACAACUAAUAUAACUGCCAAAACUCCUUCUACCUCAUCAUCAAGCACCACCUUCUCUAAAUAACCCCAAAGUCACUGUCUACCACAGCUACGCCUCCACAUGACUCUAUAGUCAAAGCAGCACGCCUGAAGCCUUCGCAGGAGAGGAGAGGGCUGGAGUAGCUCACAUCCAACACUGCAAAACAAAUGUGGAAUUGAAAAAAUACUGCAAUUGCCAUUCUUAUUCCGGACUGAACACACUGCCACUAACACUACAACUAGCACCAUCGCAACACAUACAGCAACUACACCGACCACAACAUCCGCCGCUACCCUCUGA
ensembl:lncRNA